rnacentral:rRNA from 1 species
CGGAGGCUACCGCUAUUGGAGUCCGAUUAAGACAUGCGAGUCGAGAGCUUUCGGAGCUCGGCAUACCGCUCAGUAACACGUGGGUAACCUGCCCUGUGCUGGGGGAUAACCUCGGGAAACUGAGAACAAUACCCCAUAGUCCACUACGCCUGGAACGGUGAGUGGAUGAAAGCCCCGGCGGCACAGGAUGGGCCUGCGGCGUAUCAGGUAGUAGGGGGUGUAAAGUACCCUCUAGCCUUCGACGCGUACGGGUUGUGAGAGCAAUAGCCCGGGGAUGGAUUCUGAGACACGAAUCCAGGUCCUACGGGACGCAGCAGUCGCGAAACCUUGACAAUGCGGGAAACCGUGAUCAGGGGACUCCAAGUGCCAGGAGUAAGAUCCUGUGCUUUUCUUUUCUCUUCAAAGGAUUUGGAAUAAGAGGUGGGUAAGGACGGUGCCAGCCGCCGCGGUAAUACCGGCGCCUCGAGUGGUAGUCGAUUUUAUUGGGCCUAAAACGUCCGUCGCCGGUCUGGUGCAUUCGUGGGUAAAUCAACCCGCUCAACGGGUUGAAUUCUGCGAGCACGGCCAGACUAGGGACCGGGAGAGGUGUGGGGUACGCUCGGGGUAGGGGUAAAAUCCUGUCAUCCCGAGCGGACCACCUGUUGCGAAGGCUCCACACUAGAACGGAUCCGACGGUCAGGGACGAAGCCUAGGGGCACGAACCGGAUUAGAUACCCGGGUAGUCCUAGGUGUAAACGCUGUGGACUUGGUGUUGGGAGCUCCCAGAGGGCUCUCAGUGCCGUAGCGAAGGUGAUAAGUCCACUGCCUGGGGAGUACGGUCGCAAGGCUGAAACUUAAAGGAAUUGGCGGGG